UAUCCAUGCUGAGGACACUUCUACAGUAACUCUUUAUAGCGCUCCCAUGCCUCGAAUAACUUUUCAUCUUCUCUCUGUCUGAAUGUGCAAUUUAUGUUCUCAGUCU